GCGCGGGUGGCGGAAUCGGUAGACGCGUCAGCUUGAGGGGCUGGUGGGGCUUAGCCCCGUGGAGGUUCAAAUCCUCUCCCGCGCA
rnacentral:tRNA from 1 species